rnacentral:rRNA from 1 species
GACGAACGCUGGCGGCGCGCUUAACACAUGCAAGUCGUACGGUAAGGCCCUUUCGGGGGUACACGAGUGGCGAACGGGUGAGUAACACGUGAGUAACCUGCCCACAACUUUGGGAUAACGCUAGGAAACUGGUGCUAAUACUGGAUAUGUGCUCCUGCUGCAUGGUGGGGGUUGGAAAGCUCCGGCGGUUGUGGAUGGACUCGCGGCCUAUCAGCUUGUUGGUGGGGUAGUGGCCUACCAAGGCGGCGACGGGGAGCCGGCCUGAGAGGGUGAGCGGCCACAUUGGGACUGAGAUACGGCCCAGACUCCUACGGGAGGCAGCAGUGGGGAAUAUUGCACAAUGGGCGCGAGCCUGAUGCAGCAACGCCGCGUGCGGGAUGACGGCCUUCGGGUUGGAAACCGCUUUCAGCAGGGACGAAGCUUUUUGUGACGGUACCUGCAGAAGAAGCACCGGCUAACUACGUG